rnacentral:pre_miRNA from 1 species
GAAAGGGAAAGAAAACACGGAAAUCGAGGAGUGAACUUGGAUUAAACCUUAGUCUAAAUUCACUCCUCAAUUUCCGUGUUUUCCUUCCUUUUC